rnacentral:tRNA from 1 species
UCUCUGGUAGCUUAGCUGGUAAAGAAUCUGCCUGCAAUGCAGGAGACCCAGGUUUGAGUCCUGAGUGGGGAA